GGUUCGAUGGUGUAGUUGGUUAUCACGUUCGCCUCACAAUUCUGUAAUGCGCGAAAGGUCGCGAGUUCGAACCUCGCUUGAAUCA